GAUGUAGUGCUCACUUCACCAAAUUGGAAUGAUACAGAGAAGAUUAGCAUGGCCCCUACACAUAGAUGAUAUGCAAAUUUGUGAAGGGUUCCAUAUUUUU
ensembl:snRNA U6 U6 spliceosomal RNA